UAGGGAAUAUUGCGAAAUGGGCGAAAGCCCGAUGCAGCAACGCCGCGUGGGCGAUGAGGGCCUUCGGGUCGUAAAGCCCUUUUUGAGGGGAUGAGGAAGGACAGUACCCUCAGAAUAAGCCUCGGCUAACUACGUGCCAGCAGCCGCGGUAAAACGUAGGAGGCGAGCGUUAUCCGGAUUUACUGGGCGUAAAGCGCGUGCAGGCGGAUUGGAGAGUUGGAUGUGAAAGCUCCCGGCUUAACUGGGAGAGGUCGUUCAAUACUUCCAGGCUUGAGUGCAGGAGAGGGAAGUGGAAUUCCGGGUGUAGUGGUGAAAUGCGUAGAUAUCCGGAGGAACACCAGUGGCGAAAGCGGCUUCCUGGACUGUAACUGACGCUCAGACGCGAAAGCUAGGGUAGCAAACG
rnacentral:rRNA from 1 species